AUGCCGUGGCAGAGGAGAAAACUGAGCAGUGCUGGCGGGGGGGCCGACAAGGAAGAGCCCAAGAGGAGAUCGGCGCGGUUGUCAGCUAAACCUCCUGUGGAAGUGGAAGCGAAGCCGAAAAAGGCAGCAGCGAAGGAUAAAUCUUCAGACAAAAAAAUGCAAACAAAAGGGAAAAGGGGAGCAAAGGGAAAACAGGCUGAAGUGGCUAACCAAGAAACUAAAGAAGAUUUACCUGCAGAAAACGGGGAAACGAAAACUGAGGAGAGUCCAGCCUCUGAUGAAGCAGGAGAGAAAGAAGCCAAGUCUGAUUAAU